rnacentral:rRNA from 1 species
CCAAUAGCGUAUAUUAAAGUUGUUGCAGUUAAAAAGCUCGUAGUUGAAUUUCGGGAUCAAUAUGUCGGUCGUGCCUUGGUACGUACUGGUAUCAUUGGUUUCUCCUUUCUGACGAACCAUGAUGUCAUUAAUUUGGUGUUAUGGGAAGUUAGGACUGUUACUUUGAAAAAAUUAGAGUGUUUAAAGCAGGUUUUAGCUUGAAUACAUUAGCAUGGAAUAAUGAAAUAGGACGUUCGAACCUAUUUUGUUGGUUUCUAGGAUCAACGUAAUGAUUAAUAGGGAUAGUUGGGGGCAUUAGUAUUCAAUUGUCAGGGGUGAAAUUCUUGGAUUUAUUGAAGACUAACUACUGCGAAAGCAUUUGCCAAGGAUGUUUUCAUUAAUCAAGAACGAAAGUUAGAGGAUCGAAGACGAUCAGAUACCGUCGUAGUCUUAACCAUAAACUAUGCCGACUAGGGAUCGGAUGAUGUUAAUUUUAUAAUGACUCAUUCGGCGCCUUACG